UACGGGGGGAGCAAGCGUUGUUCGGAUUUACUGGGCGUAAAGGGCGCGUAGGCGGCCACCGCAAGUCGACUGUGAAAUCUCCGGGCUUAACCCGGAAAGGUCAGCCGAUACUGCGGGGCUAGAGUGCAGAAGGGGCCACUGGAAUUCUCGGUGUAGCGGUGAAAUGCGUAGAUAUCGAGAGGAACACCUGCGGCGAAGGCGGGUUGCUGGGCUGACACUGACGCUGAUGCGCGAAAGCUAGGGGAGCGAACGGG
rnacentral:rRNA from 1 species